ACUCAACGUUAAUAUAAUUAAAAAGAGUGAGUCAUGGUUGUAAAAGCAUGCUGUCAAUACUGAACUUGUUUAGUAUUUGGACAGAUCCUUGAUCAAUCUGUUAGCUCUAAACUUGUUUUUUUGGAGUUU
rnacentral:sRNA from 1 species